rnacentral:lncRNA from 1 species
UCUUUUGGAACCCUCCUGAGAACAAUUCUCUGCUUUCUGUUGCCAUCAUUCUUCAUGUCUUGCUCACAGAAGCUAAUGUGGGUAUAGCACAUGUGAGUACCGAUGCUGCACUGAUUUGAUUUGAGCAUAUGGCUGCAGGGUAUUGUUUCAUACCAUGCAAGCAGCAGGGAUCCUGGAGUAAAUUCAGUUGCAACAGGAACAGGCUUUGAAGAAUGCCACUAUCCAGCCAUGCAAACAUGGAACGAUAUAUGAGUUGACAGCAGAUGUAGAUGGAUGUCUCUUCAGUACCAUCGUUUGAAUGAGUGGCUCUGGCCAUGAGACUUCUGUUCGUCUGCCAGUGACAGACACUGUGUAGAGAAGCUGAGGAAGCACAGGGUGUGCUGUCUGAAAUGUCUCCAGUCUGGUCCCCUCUGAUGAUGCCUGUGAGUGCCUGUCCAUCCACAGUCCUGUACCUCUUCUGCACACCCACUGACUGCCAGUGUCAGCUCCACAACACUGCACUGUGAUCUACGGGGAGGGGUGGGAGCAAGCACUUACGCUAGCCUAGUAUUGCCAAAGCAAAACCCUGAUUUCCUGAGGUAAAAUGCUAUGGCAUUAACUCAGUGUGCCACCUCACUUUUGCACAACAACAACUUCAAAAUUAGCACCUCCAUAGCAGAUCAACAGGCUGAGCACAGCUGGCAGAACAUGCACCACUGUCUGAAGGAUACAACAAAAAAAACCCCAAAACAAAACAAAAUCCUGUCUCCAUGUAAUAAGCAAUGUACAGUUACCUCUCUCCUAGUGAGUGUCUAACCCUGUAUGAGUAUUUCUCCAAGGUUGGAUUUACACAUGCUUUUUUAACACUAAAUCCCCCAAAUCAAAGGAAGAGGUUCAGUUAAUCAGUUAAUUAAUGGUAAAUAUUGACCCUUUUUUUAAGUUAUCCUAGUUCCAUUACUUUAGAGGACUGAGCCAAUUUAUUAUAUCAAUUUACACCAGCUGAAGAACUAGCCCUGAAUAACUUCUUGUCAUUUAAUAUUACUGAAUAUUUUUCACUUUAUUUGAAAUAGAGACUAGUGUUCUCUAGUGUUUCUUCAUGUUCUCACUACUUAGGAAAAAAGCAAUGCAAUGCAGAUUUACCAAGAGCAUUGAAGGGACAUGAGCUUCCUCCCUCCUUCUCCUCCAGUCCCAGCCUUUUCCCAUUAGCACUGCUUUCACUCCAGAAUCAGAGGUCCUGGUCAUACGGCUGAGCCACCAACCCACACACCUCCCUCGCCUGGAUUCAGGGCUGCCUCUCUCCCUGAGUAACAUUCACCAGGUUUUCAGUAAUAAUUUCUAGGUUUUAAUCUGAAACUCUUGGUAGGUCUUUGUUGUUCUUUCACACAUCCUGACUAGAUUUUUCUCUCACUGGACAGCUUGUAAAAUAGUUUUGUUUUAUAAAUACUGGUAUUCUUUUGCAGAAUAAAAAAUGCUUUUCUAAAUAAAAAUAAAA